rnacentral:lncRNA from 1 species
AUAGAAACCUAAGAAAAAUGAGAAGUUGAUCAUUCAAACAGAAGAUAUUGAGAAAACACACACAUACACAGCAAUGAACUCUGCAGGGCACACAAAAUCAGGGCAUAUAUUCUAACUGCAGUUAAAGCAUAGACAUUAAAAAAAAGAUAAAGAAGAAAAUCCUACCAUUUACAACAACAUGGAUGAACUUAGAGGACACCACGGUGGGUGACAUAACACAGUCACAGAAGGACAAGUACUGCAUGAUUCUGCUUAUAUGAGGUAUAUGAAAUAAUCAAAUUAAUAGAUUCAGAGAGUAGAAUGGUGGUUGCUAUGAGCUGGGGUAUGGAAAAAUGGGGAGUUGUUCAGUGAGUAUAAAGUCUCAGUUGUACAAGAUAAAUAUGUCUAGAGAUCUUCUGUCACUGAGAAGAUUUAAACAGGGUUGAGGCAUGAUUUGAUUUUAAUUUUAUAAAUAUUAUUCUGAUUUCUGUUAAAUAUGGUAAGUUGAACACAUGCGUUUAUCAUCAUUUGCUUUGAAAAUUCCAGUAACAUGACAAGAGAUUAAUUUAAAAAGUUGCAAACUCAAAAGAUCAAAUUAGGCCAGGAGAUGGAACAAUAGGAAAUGAGAAAUAGCUACACGUACUUUGAAGGUGGAAAGCAUACAGACAGUGGUAACUGACACACAGAUGAGACUGCAGAAGUCUAGGCAUUCAUGAGACACUUAUAAGAAACAAGGGAAUUGGAUUUUUCUGUUAUCACACUACUAAUAAAGACAUACCUGAGAAUGGAUAAUUUAUAAAGGAAAGAGGUUUAAUUGACUCACAGUUCCACAUGCCUGGGGAGGCCUCACAGUCAUGGCAGAAGGCGAAUGAGGAGCUAAGUCACAUCUUACAUGGAAGCAGGCAAGAGAGCUUGUGCACGGGAUCUCCCAUUUAUAAAACCAUAAGAUCUCGUGAGACUUAUUCACUAUGAUGAGGACAGCAUGGGAAAAACCUGCCCCUAUGAUUCAAUUAUCUCCAUCUGGCCCCACCCUUGACAUGUGUGGAUUAUUACAAUUCAAGGUGAGAUUUGGGUGGGGACACAGCCAAACCAUAGCAGGAAUUUAUAGUGCAAACCUAGAAAAGCUCAGGAACUGAACAAACAGAUUCUAAUGAAGGCAAAUGGAGACUGUAAGGUGGACUCUCCACAGUUUAGAGUUAGUUUAAAGUCACUAUUAAGUUCAAUUACUUGCUGAGACCUUUUCUGCAUUCUGGUACAACAGACUACUACCCAUUCAUACUCCUAAAAAAUACAUAAGGUUGUUAUCAGGGAGAAUUGCACUGGAGAGGACAUCAAGUAGGGUGCAAUGAAGGGCAAAGUACCAUACUGAUAGAGGGUUAGUGGGUGAAAGGCUGUGUACUGAACAUUGAGAAUUCCAUGCCCUCUAGCUAGACACCAGGCUUAUUUCUCUCAUAAAGGAGACUCAGAUUCUUUCCUGGAGAAAAUGAGCAGCCAAAGAGGAAAGAUCUAAAAGAUCUAUAGAUACUGACAUGGAGUGGGGCAACAAAGUAGGCGGGUCUCCCUUCCAGCUAUCCUGCAGUAAAACUUACCAGGCAAUAAUCCCUUGCCAUGCUCACAGAACUUUCAGUUAAUGAUAGUGCUUCACUCUUGAAUCAAUGUAGUAUUUGGCAUUUAAGGAUAGCCUCCCAUAUAUAAGACAGAGACAUAAUAAAGAGUAAAAAACUCCAAGAAACAGAGAAGCAUAGAAAGCAGAACAAAAAACUUUAAAAAGAGAGAAAGAGAAAGCAAUCAAUGGUUCGGUGAAAUAUGAGAAAAUAUUUUUUUGUUUAAAAUAAAACACACUAUUUGAAAAAAGAACUAUCAAAGAACAAAGAAGAGUUCUUAGAAAUAAAAAAUAUGAUUGCAAAAAUGAAAAGUCAACAGAAAAUCAUCUAGAUAGAACCCAAAAAUGGGGGAAAAAAGGAAAAAAAAUGUAACAUAGCUGAAAUAAAUUCCAUAAUUUUUAAGAAAAUAUUUAUUCCUCUUCCCUGAAAGGUGGAGGAUAUUUUCUUACUACAUGGAGGAUGGGCUAGGGCCACCAAGCCCUGCUUGUGUGUAGAAAGGACAGCGUGCUGGUUAUAAACCAAAUUCAUAAGAGGCAUGUGAGUUUCUUUUGGCUUAAUUAAACAUCUGUCAUUCAAGCCAGUGGCCCAAGAAAGAAGACAAAGACAAAGAGGAAAUGUCUCUGAUCAGCCAAGUUCAGCUGACUCUAGCCAAUCUUUGCAGAGCUGCAACCAAGUGCAGACUGAUGAGUAAGAAAAUAAAUGCAUGUUAUUGCAUGACACUGAGCUCGAGAGAGGUUUCUUAUACAGCAUUAUUUUAACAAUAACUAAUUUAAGACAAAAAAUAAGAAUCCUAAACAAAUAAAAAGAAUCAACCCAGAAGUUGAAACAACCGGCUAAUAUAAGUUUCAGAAAGAAAGCAUCAAGAAAAUUAAGGGGAAGAAUUUAUAAAAUAAAUAAUGUAAGAAAAACUUUCAGAAUUGGGUGACAUAAAUUUCUAUAUUCAAGGAGUCCAGUGAUUACAAAAAGAUACACACCAAGGUAUAUCUUAUGGAAUUUCAGAAUAUCAAGGGUAAAGAAGGAUAAAACCUUCUUCUAGACAAAAUAUGAUCAGAAUGGCAUUGGACUUAUGAGAACAAUGCUGAAAGCAAAAAAUUAAUAAAUAAAUGUCUUUGAAAUUAAAAUUGAGAGCAUAAAAAAUUCUGAUAUAAAAUUAUAUAGCUAUUCAAAAGUUAAGUCAAAUGUGAAGGUGGAGUAAUGGUAUUUUCAAGCAUAUAAGGACUCAAAAAUAUUUACUUUCAAAGCAUAUUUUCUCAGGAAGUUAUUAAAGAAUAUGCUCUAGUAAGAUGAGGUAGACUGGAGAUCCAAGAAGUCAGAAAUCCAGAAGAGAAGUGAAGAAAAAUCUGGAGUGAUGGGUAAGAAAAUAUCCAGAACAAUAGCUGUGUAAGCCAGCCUAAGAGCUUUCAAUCCCAAUUACAGUAGGACACUGAAAGGCUGUAGGAGGAAUAUCUCCACAAAAACAUGGUAUUUCAUUAAUUUUACCUUCUGCAUAUUAUCUCACUAUAUAAAUAAAUCAGUUUCUUCAUUCCUCUUGAGUGAGGAAUGAUCAGGUUUCUGCUUUUUCCCUAUUACAAUCAAUAAAGCAAUUAAUACAUGACUUCUUGUGAACAAUUUUAAGAGGUUGGUUUUUGUUUUUAGUGUAGAUAAUGAAUUAUUGAGUGCAAUGAUAAUUUUGUGUUUUAUCUUGGUUAGUCCAAGGUACUCGGAUAUUUAGUCAAACACUUUGGUGUUGCUUUCAAGGUAUUUUUAAGAUGAGAUUAAGGUUUGUCUUAGUCCAUUUUGUGCUGCCAUAAUAUAAUACCUGAAACUGGGUAAUUUAUAAUGAACAGAAAUAUCUUGACUCAUAGUUCUGCUGGCUGAGAAGUCCAGUAUCAAAGCAUCUGAUAAGGGCCUUCUUGCUGCGUUAUCCCACGGCAGAAGGUGAGACAGCAAGAGAGCAAGAGGGGACGAUACUUAUCCUUCUGUAAUCACAUUAAUCCCACUAAUGAGGCCAGAGCCUUCAUGCCUUAAUCACCUCUUAAAGUUCCCACUCCUUAAUACUGUCAAUGGCAAUUAAAUUUCAACAUGAGAUUUUGAGGGGACAUUCAAACUAUAGUAAUAUUUAAAUCAGAAGACUUUGAGUAAAUUACCCUUCAUAAUGUGGGUGGGCAUCUUUUAAUCAGCUGAAAGCCAUAAGGAAAAGAUUGACUUCCCAUGAAGAAGACAGAUUUCUGCCAGCCAACUGCCUUCAGCCUUGAGCUAUAACAUCCAUUUUUUUUCCUGGGUUCCAGCCUGCCAAUCUACCUUGCAGAUUCUGGACCUGCAGAUUUUGGAGUUGCUAGCCUGUACAAUUACAUGAGCCAAUUCCUUAAAAUCUCUCUCUCUACCUUCCAAUAGGAUGUAUAUAAAACCAAUAGGACACACACACACACACACACACACACACACACACACACCCUGUCGCUUCUUUCUCUGGAGAUGCUGACUAAUACAUCAGAUAUGUGCGCAUACAAUUUCACUAAAUAUUGGCAAGAUGUAUAAAACAUUGUAGGAUUUUUAUAUUCCCAUCAACAGUGAUGAAAAUGUACAUUUCUCCAUAUCGUCACCAGCACGUAAUUUUGUAACGUAUAAUAUUUUGGACCAAUGUGAUAGCUGUGAAAUAUUUUCUCAUUUUAAUUGGUAUUUUUUCAUUAUGAUUACUAGUUGGUUUAAAAAUUUUUCAUAUAUUCAUUUGACCAUUCAUAUACAUACUUCUAGGAAAUGCCCAUUUUAUUAUUUUUCUAACAAAACGUUUUCAUUAGUGUAUAAUUUACAUAGAGAAAAGCGUACAAGUCAUGAGUGUACAACUUGAUAAAGUAUUACAAAAUAAACACCUCCAAUAUAACCAUCAUCUAGCACCUAGAUCUUACAUCCAAAAAUCUAACAUUGCUGGGACCCUACAAUGUCCAAGCAGGUCCCCUUCCAAAACACUACAUCCUCUUUUUUCCACAAAGAGAAACACUAUCCUGAAUGAUAACACCAUAGAUUAUUCUUGCCACUUCAAGUAAGUGGAAUCAAACUAUACAGAACAUAUCGUGUCUAGUUUCUUUUCCUCAAUAUGUUUAUGAGAGUAGUCCAUGUUGUAGCAUAUAGCUGUAGUAUUUUUCACUGCUGCAUAAUAGUUCAUUGCAUGACUAUGCAAUAAUUUAUCUACUUUGUGUUCAUUAAAAUAUGAUGCAGUUAUAAACCUUUUAAUGCAUGUUUUUCAGUGUGCAUAAGUAUAUGCCUAGGAAUGUAAAUGUAUGUCUUCAACUUUGGAGGAUAAUGGCAGUUCUCCGGUUGGAUACACGGAUUUAUACCACUACGUGUAGUGCAUGUCAGCUCUAAUGGCUCCACAUCUUUGUCAACAAUUGGUAUUGUCAGCACUUUUUAAUUUUAGCCAAUCUAGAAAGUAUGAAGAAAACACUGAUUUGUGGCUUAAAUUACCAUUUCUUUGAUGACUAAUGAGGUUGAUCAUAUUUACAUGUUUGUGGGCAAUGGGGAUAGCCUCUUUUGUAAAGUAUCUUUUCACAACUUGUUCUCUCAUUCUAUUUUGUUGUAUGUAUUUUCUUACUGAGUUUUACAAGUUAUUUAUAUAUUCCAAAUCUGAGCUUUUUGUUUUUGUAUGUGUUGCAGAUAGAUUUCCCUAGUCUGUUAACUUGGCUUCUAUUUUCUUGUCAGCUUUUUUUGAGGGAGAAAUGUCUAAGUUGUAUUGUCUAAUUUUGCAUAUUUCCUUUAUAGUUUAUGGUUUUUGUGACUGUUUUAAAUGUUCUAACUUAUCUUAAAAUCAUAAAUAUAUCCUCCUAUGUCAUGUUCUAUAACAGCACUCUGUUACUAAUUUCUGCAAUAAUAGACAUAUUUUAUAUCUGUGCUAACCUACAUCGUAGCCACUAGAUACAUGUUGCUACUGAGCACUUAAAGUAUGGCUAGUGUGACUGAGGAAAUACUUUAACAUUUUUAUUUGAUUUUAAUUAAUUUAAAUUUACAUUGCUAUAUGUGGCAAUUGCUAGUGGCAAUUUAAAUUAAUUUAAAUCACUAGAGGCCAACAUAUUGGAUAAAAAUCAUUCAAUUAUGUUCUCAGACCACAAUAUAAUUAAACUAGAAAUCAGUAACAGAAAGAUAGCUGGGAAAUUCCAAAAUAUUUGGAAAGUAGCACACUUCCAAAUUAUCCAGGGUCAAAAAAGUAUCAAGAUAAAUUUAAAAUUUUUUGAACCAAAUAGAAGAAAAAAUAAAAUGUAUCAAAAUUUGUGUGAUACAGUGAUAGCAGUGCUUAGAUUAACAUGUUUAGCAUUAAAUUCAUGUGUUCAAAAAGAAGAAAAAUCUAAAACUUCACCCUCCGCCUUAAGAAACUAGAGUAAGAAAAGCCAAUUAGGCCUGGCUGAAAUAGGUCAGAUCCUUAAAAGAGACUGCUGAAACUCCCACAAGGAGAACUAGAUAAACUGAAUAUCCAUUUAUUUAUUAUAGAAAUUUGAUCACUAUUUAAUAAACUUACAAAAAAAUAAAGCACCAGACUCAAAUGAUUUCACUGGUAAAUUCACUAAACAUUUAAAGAAAAAAUAAUACCAAGUUUCCACAAUUUCUUCAAGAAAAUGGAAGCCGUGAAAACACUGUCUAUAUUAUUCUAUAAGGCCAGCAUUACCCUAAUAUCAGUUCCAGAGAAAGACCUUGCAAGAAACAAAAACUACAUUCCAAUACCUCUCAUGAACAUAGACACAAGAAUCCUUACCAAAAUAUUAACAAAUUGAACCCAACAAGUAUAACAGGAAUUAUACACCAUGGCUGAGUGGGAUUUAUUUCAGGUACUCAAGGCUCAUUCAAAAUUUAAAAAUCAAUCAGUGUAAUUCAUCACAUCAAAACACUAAAUAAGAAAAAUCAUAUGAUAUAUCAAUUGAUACAGAAAAAGUGUUUAACAAAAUUUAGAAUCCAUGCAUGAUAAAAGCUCUCAGAGAAUUAGGAAUAAAAGGAAACUCUCAACCUGAUAAAGAACAUCUGUAAAUCUACAGCCAGCAUCUUAAUUGUAAGAAACUGGACAUAAGGCAAGAUUGUCCUCUUGUAUUAAAAAGUUUAUUCAAAGUCCUAGAUAGUGCAAUAAAACAUAAAAAAGAAAAAUUAUGGAGAUUAUUAAAAAAGAAAAGGAUCAUAUUCACAGAUGACAUAAUUUUCUAUGUAGAAUGCUCCAAAAUACCUAUUUAAAAACUCCUAGAACUAAUACAUACACACACACAGUAAUACACUUAGUAUAUACUAAUAUAUACUAUAACCUGCUCUCAAUACACAAGGUCAACAUGAAAAAAUCAAUUGCUUUUCUAUAUCUCAGCAAUAAACAAUGGGAAUUUAAAUUCUAAAAAGCAAUAUCAUUUACAAUAACACUAACAAAUUUUAAAGGUGGGGUGUAAAUCUAACAAAAUAUAUACAGAAUCUUUAUGUAGAAUAUUACAAAACACUGAUGAGGAAAUAAAGGAAGAUCUAAACAAAGGGAAUGAUAUUCUUGGUUUAUCGAUUGGAAGACUCGAUAUUGUUAAACUGUCUGUUCUAAUAUAUAGACUCAAUGCAAUCCCAAUGAAAAUUCCAGCAAUAUAUGUUUUUAGAUAUUGAUGAACAGGUCCUACAAUUUAUAUGGAAAAACAAAAGACUCAAAAUAGCCAACACAAUAUGAAAGAAAGAAAGUCAGAGGGCUGACACUACAUAACUUCAAUAUUUAUUGUAAAGCUACAGUAAUCAAGAUAGCAUGGUAUUAGCAAAAGAACAAGUAUAUGGAUGAGAAAAGAGAAUAGAGAGUCCAUUAAUAGACCCACACAAACAUAAAAAAGAAUCUUUGAUAAAAGAGUAAAGGCUAUUAAACUGAGCAAAAAUAGUCUUUUACACAAAUGGUACUAGAACAAUUGGACAUCCAUGCAAAACGUGAACUUACACACAGACAUUAUGCCUUUCACAAGAAUCUCAAAAUAAAUCAUCGACAUAAAUAAAAAUACAGAAAUUAUAAAACUUAUUGAAGAAAACAUAGGGUAAGAUCUAGAUGAUUUUGGAUUUAAGAAUGAAUAUUUAAAUACAACAAGAGUAGCAAAAUCAUGAAAAAUGAAUAGGUUGAACUUUAUAUAUUAAAAUCUGUUCUACAAAAGACAUUGUUAAAAGAAUGAAAAGAUAAGACACAGAUUGGAAAAAAUACUUGCAACACAGCUAUAUAAUAAAGGAAUUAUAUCCGAAAUAUGCAAUAUACAAAAAAACCUUAAAAGCCAACAAGAAAACAAAAAACAAAAUAAAAAUGAGUAGAAGAUCUGAACAGACACCUCGCCAAAGAAUAUAUGUCAUACAAGUGACAUACAUUGACAUACAAGUGAAUAUAUGUCAUACAAGUGACCAAAUAAGCCUAUGAAAAGCUGCUCAUUUCCAUUUUUUGUUAGGGAAAUAUAAAUUAAAACAACAUUCCAUUAAAAAGUCAAAAUGAUAAAGUAAACAGAUCAAUGGCGGCUAGGGAUUCUGAGGUGUAGUAGUAAAUAGAUGAAGCACACAGGAUUUUUUAGAGUGGUGAAACUGUUGGGUAUGAUACAUACUGGCAGAUACAUGAUUCUCUACAUUUCUGAAAACCAUAGAACUUUACAGCAUGAAGAGUGGAGCUUAAUGUUUGCAAAUUAAACAAACAUUUAGGAGAUAAGAGGAUCCUAGGAUGAGAUGCAGGCUAUGAUUUUUUUAAAAAACAACUGUAUUACAAAUGUAUGAAAUAAUCUUGCUAAAGAGGAUGGAGAAAAGAUAAUUGGUUAGUAUAUUUAGAAAUAAGUAGAGUCUAUAAUACUGAAGAUAAAAGGAACCUUACAUAAGCUCUGUAUUCUAGUUGAUAAACUUGUUUCCCACAGGGAUAUGGGUCAAUAAUUCUGAAAUUACUAUACCUGUACAUUGGAAUUGCACAAUUAAGUAAACAGCUGGCUGAUGACAGAAGCCAGGUUUCUCACUGUUGGAGUGACAGGUUACACAUAAACAGGUGGGGAAUGCCAGAAGGAUCCAUGUGAUCAUUGAUCAGAAUGGGAGACAAGAGUAUGAACUCAUGUUUAGCUUAAAAUAAAUACUCUUAGAUACAUACAGAAAAAUUUAUAAAUAUGCACGUAUACAUGAGUUAGUACACACACAUACUUCCUUGUUCUUUCAGCUGAGAUGGUCUUGAGCAACGGGACAGUACCAGUGAACACACCUAGCUCAAAGAUAUCAGUUUUUUAUUCCAUUCUCCAAUGAAAGGAUGCCAGACUUGUUGCACAAAUGACCAAUUUGGGUCUGUGGCAUGAAAUAAUGAUCUUGCAGCAUCUUGUAGUGCCAGAAAGUGAGAAAAAACUCAAAUAUAAAACCCACAAAACCCACAGUGACAGGAAAAUAUCAAAGAGACAUUGGAGCCAACUGAAAGAGCUUCCAAUGGCGAAAGCUGGAACAAUAUGAGCAACAAAAUAAAGUUAUAUUGGGGUGUAAGCUGAAGCAGAAAAGAAGUAUCAAUGAGUUCAUACUAGCAUCAGUAAAUGUUUGGAUAUAUAAAUGAAUAGGGGAGGAGAUCUAAAUCUACUAUGCAGAAUUCAAAACAUCUUGUGAGAGAUUAUCUUUCAUAGAGAGAGAGUAUUAACCCAGCUACUUAAAUAUUGGCUGCGGACAGUAUUCUAAAGAAAACAAUAUGGAAAAGGGGAAAACAAGUGACUUUACAGUGCAGAAAUCUGACAAACAUUACCUUAGUCAAGCAAUCAAGAUUAACAUCAAUAAUGACAAGUCAUAUUGAUGGCAUGUACCUUUCAUGUAAUUCAUGGAGAAUGGCACUUUACCUGUGUGGUCUUUCUCCCCAAACCUCGAAGUUCUAGUAUAAUUUGGAGGAAAGCAUCGGAUCAUCCCCACUGAGGCACAUUCUACAGAAUACCUAGCCUGUACUCUGAGAACUGCUGCAACCAAAAAGAACCUAAGGAGACAUGUUGGCUAAGAGUAAUGAUUAUCCUGAAUGGGACACUGGAACAGUAAAAGGUCAGUAGAUCAAAACUAAGGAAAUCUGAAUAAAGCAUAGACUUUCGUUAAUGGUAUAAAUAUCAGUUCAUUAAUUAUAACAAAUUUUCCAUACUAAUUUAAGAUGUCAACAACAGGGGAAACUAGAUGUUAAGUACAUAGGAACUCUCUGUACUAUCCUUGCAACUUUUCUGUAAACCUAACACAAUUUUAAAAUGAUAAUUUGAUUAAAAUAAAUUAAUGGUGAUAUGUUGAAAUUUUUACCUCUAAAACUAGCAUCUCCAGUGUCUCCAUUUUUAUUCAAAAUUAUAUUAGUAGCCCUAGCCAGUGAAAUAAGUUAUGAGAAAGGAAUAAAAUAAGGAUAGAAAAGUUUUUUUUAAAAUAAUGUAUACAUAGAAAAUGUAAUUCUAUAAAUAAACCUUUAGAAUUAUCAGCGUCAUUGAAUCAAUUCAUUAUACACAAAUUAAUUUAAUUUUAAUUUUACAUACCAGCUACAGAAAUUUUAAGACGUCUCAAAAUUAUUGAAAUAUAAUAAGACCUACAUAAAUGAUAGAUAUACCAUGUCAAUAUUUUUGAAGACUUGAUGUUGUAUAAUUUCCAAUUCUUCUCAAAGUGAUCUAUAGAUUCAAUGUAAUGACAACAAAAGUCCCAGCAGGUGUGUUUCUGAAAAUUGAGAUGCUGAGACUAAAAUUGUAUCGAAAUAUAAAGGAACCAGAAUGGUUAAGGGAAACUUGAAGAAUUACAGAAUGAGAGAAUUUGAUUUACCAGAAAAGACUUAUACCAUAGUUACAAUCACUAAAUAAGAAUUGGUACAAGUAAAGACCACAGACUAAUGAAGGCAAGAGACAGCAGAAACAGAUCCAUUCUUACAGGACUACUUGAAUUACGACAAAGGUGGCACGUUGGAGGAAUAGAAAAAAGAUGGGCUUUUCAGUGAAUCGUCCUGAGUCAAUAGUCCUGAGUCAAUCAGUUGUCCCUCUGGGAACCAAAUGAAACCUGACGUUUGCUUUUCGUAUUUCCUUUGGGGUAGGCCUGCUGGUUAGUGUGGUUUAUAUUUAUCAUUCAACGAUUAUCGUUAAAUACCAUUUUCCUAUUUUAUUUUUCAUGAACCGUAUAACUAUCUCAAAUUAUCUCAUUUAUUUGAUUGCUUUUAAAUUAUUUUUCCUGUUCCCACUACAAUAUAAAGUCCCUGAGAACAAGAAUUUAUCUAUGCUGCUAAACAUUGUAGCUAAAAUAUCUAAAAUAUUUCAAGGUAUAAUUAUAAGCUUUUGAAUAAAUAAAUGAAUAUACAAAUCUGCCAGGAAAAUGAGGAGUGAAAAUAACAUAAUCCUUUGAUCUAGCGCAGGAAGGAUGAGGACAGUUUAUUUGAGAGCCUGGGAUGGGGUAAUGGUUUGGAACAUUCUAGAUAAAAGGCAUAGCAAAUGCUGAAACAUAAUAAAUGUGUAGGGGAACAUCACAGGGUGACUUUCUGAGUGGGCUAUUUUUUUAUGUAGUAAAUGGAAAUGUCUGUUUAAAAUAAAGG